rnacentral:rRNA from 1 species
UGCAGUCGAGCGGUAAGGCCUUUCGGGGUACACGAGCGGCGAACGGGUGAGUAACACGUGGGUGAUCUGCCCUGCACUUCGGGAUAAGCCUGGGAAACUGGGUCUAAUACCGGAUAUGACCUCCUGUUGCAUGACUUGGGGUGGAAAGAUUUAUCGGUGCAGGAUGGGCCCGCGGCCUAUCAGCUUGUUGGUGGGGUAAUGGCCUACCAAGGCGACGACGGGUAGCCGACCUGAGAGGGUGACCGGCCACCUGAGACACUGGGAACGGCCCAGACUCCUACGGGAGGCAGCAGUGGGGAAUAUUGCACAAUGGGCGAAAGCCUGAUGCAGCGACGCCGCGUGAGGGAUGACGGCCAACGGGUUGUAAACCUCUUUCAGCAGGGACGAAGCGCAAGUGACGGUACCUGCAGAAGAAGCACCGGCUAACUACGUGCCAGCAGCCGCGGUAAUACGUAGGGUGCAAGCGUUGUCCGGAAUUACUGGGCGUAAAGAGUUCGUAGGCGGUUUGUCGCGUCGUUUGUGCCAACCAGCAGCUCAACUGCUGGCUUGCAGGCGAUACGGGCAGACUUGAGUACUGCAGGGGAGACUGGAAUUCCUGGUGUAGCGGUGAAAUGCGCAGAUAUCAGGAGGAACACCGGUGGCGAAGGCGGGUCUCUGGGCAGUAACUGACGCUGAGGAACGAAAGCGUGGGUAGCGAACAGGAUUAGAUACCCUGGUAGUCCACGCCGUAAACGGUGGGCGCUAGGUGUGGGUUCCUUCCACGGAAUCCGUGCCGUAGCUAACGCAUUAAGCGCCCCGCCUGGGGAGUACGGCCGCAAGGCUAAAACUCAAAGGAAUUGACGGGGGGCCCGCACAAGCGGCGGAGCAUGUGGAUUAAUUCGAUGCAACGCGAAGAACCUUACCUGGGUUUGACAUAUACCGGAAAGCUGCAGAGAUGUGGCCCCCCUUGUGGUCGGUAUACAGGUGGUGCAUGGCUGUCGUCAGCUCGUGUCGUGAGAUGUUGGGUUAAGUCCCGCAACGAGCGCAACCCCUAUCGUUGCCAGCACGUUAUGGUGGUUAUGGACUCGUAAGAGACUGCCGGGGUCAACUCGGAGGAAGGUGGGGACGACGUCAAGUCAUCAUGCCCCUUAUGUCCAGGGCUUCACACAUGCUACAAUGGCCAGAGGGCUGCGAGACCGUGAGGUGGAGCGAAUCCCUUAAAGCUGGUCUCAGUUCGGAUCGGGGUCUGCAACUCGACCCCGUGAAGUCGGAGUCGCUAGUAAUCGCAGAUCAGCAACGCUGCGGUGAAUACGUUCCCGGGCCUUGUACACCCCGCCCGUCACGUCAUGAAAGUCGGUAACACCCGGGUGGCUUAACCCCUUGUGGGAGGGAGCCGUCGCAAGGUGGGAUCGGCGAAAGCC